AAUUUAGGUUUCCACACAAAUUAACAAGGCAAUUCGAAUGUUUGAAGCUUUUGAAAAAGACAAGAAAAUGACCGGUUAUCAAAUCUCUGGAAAUAUGGAUGAAGCAAACAUAAGUACAGUAACAACAAACUGUGAAAAAACAAAAAAACGCAUAGGAGAAGAAAAAAAAAAAAAGGAAAAAAGAAGGGAGAAGUAUAAAAAUGUGAGUGAGGAAAGUGAAGAUGCAAAAACCAUUAGAGCUCAAAGCAGAAGUAAAAAAAUGGAUACCGCAAAAAAUAUAAGUGUAAGUAAAGAAAGACAGAAUGAAGAGGAAAAAAAAAAAAAAAAAAAAAAGAACANNNNNNNNNNNNNNNNNNNNNNNNNNNNNNNNNNNNNNNNNNNNNNNNNNNNNNNNNNNNNNNNNNNNNNNNNNNNNNNNNNNNNNNNNNNNNNNNNNNNAAAAAAAAAAAAAAAAAAAAAAAAAAAAAAAAAAAAAAAAAAAAGAACAUAAGAGACAUAAAGAAAAAAGUGCACACACACACGAAAAAUAUCGCAAAGAGAAAGAGGAACGAAAAGACAAAAAAGAAAAUAAAGAUAAAAAAAAACAUACAGAAAAAAAAGUAUAUAACGAAAGUGACAGUUAUUAUAAAGAAGAAAGUGUUAGUGAUGAAAUUGCAUUUAAAUCAAAUUCAAUUGAUUCUUUAUAUAAAGAAUUCAAUGUAUAUGAUAACACUAAUAUUUUUAAUGAUAAAUUAAAUGAGCAAUUUAAUAAUUUUCAUGUUAAUGAAAAAGAAAAGAAAAAAAAAAAAAAAAAAAAAAGAAUUACAUGACAAGAAAUUAAAAUCUAAUAAAUAUAAUACUACUGAAGAUAAUAUAUACAAUAAGAAUAAAUUAAAUUCGUUACAUUAUUUUAAUAAGAAUAAUAAUUCAUUUAAAAAUAAAAAUAGUGAUCAUAAAAGUAUUGAUAGUAAGCGCGUUGAUAGUAAGCGUAUUGAUAGUAAACAUAUUGAUAAUAAACAUAUUGAUAAUAAAAGUAGUAAAAAUUAUAGUGUGAGUGAUGCUACUGAUAAUAUAAGUAAUGCUAAUAAAAAAAGUGAUAAUAAACAUAGUAAUAAAAAAAAUAACAUUCAUGCAAAUAACAAUUGCUUAAUUUUAUUAGUUCAUAUUUCAGAUAUUAUAAAUAUAUCAUUAGAUUUAAAACAUAUUUAUAUUUGUCUAACUUUAAAAUCAUUUGAUAAUAAAAUAUAUAUUCAAAAAAAAAGUAAACAGAAAUAUGUAGAAAACUUGUAUGUUAAUGUUUCAGAACUAUUUGAGUUUGCUAUUAAACAAAAUAAGCAACUCUAUUUAAUUGUUGAUGUAUUUAGUAGUAUAAAUGAUACAUGUUAUUAUAACUGUAUUAUAAAUAUAAAUGAAAUUAUGUUAAAUGAAACAAAAUAUUUUGUGCCUAAAGCUUACAAGUUAACUUAUGUUACUGAAAAGUAUAUAUCUAAUGUUGAAUUAAAUAAUAAUAUUGAAACUAUAUGUUAUACAAAACCUUUUAAUUUUUCAUCGAAUUCUAAUUUUGAAAGUGAUAGCUCGAAUGAAAAAAUAAAAAAUUUUCAAUUAGUUAGUCCAACUAUAAAUACUAUACCACUUAUUAAUAACACUCCAAAUAAUACAAAUAUAAUUAGUAAUAUAACGAACGAUAUUAAUAGUAAUAUUUAUAAUAAUAAUUUAAAAUUUAAUUGGAUUAAUCCUAAUAUAACCAAACUUCAAAACAUUAACUACCCUCAUAACAGACCCUUAUAUAAACCCAAUUCUAAUCAGUUAUUUUUCACUAACGACCAAACAACAAAUCAUUUUAAAAAUGAAUAUCAUUCUAAUAAUAUCAAUAGUAGCGGUAUCACUUAUGAUACUAAUCCUUAUGCGAACUCUAAUUAUUCAAACCUUAAAAAUGCGAGUACUAUCUCUUCGAACCUUAGCUUAUCGAGAUCUAGGACGUCGAACCAUAAUUUUGCGAACCCUAAUUUAUCAAACCAUAACUUUUCUAUUCCUAAUUUUGCUAACCCUACUAUUGUUAAACCUAAUACUUUACUCUCUAAAUAUUCGUCUAAUAAAUAUACCACUUAUGAAUUUGCAAAUCACAAAUACGAAAACCCCAGAUUUGUAAAUCCCAAUUUAGUGAACCCUAAUUUAGUGAACCCUAAUUUUGCUAACCCUAAUUUUGCUAACCCUAAUUUUGCUAACCCUAACUUUGCUAACCAUAAUUUUGCUAACCCUAACUUUGAUAACCCUAAUUUUACUAAUCCUAAUUUUGUGAACUCUAAUUGUGUGAACCCUAAUUUUGUGAACCCUAAUGUCGACCACUCUAAUUAUGAUAGUUCUAAUUCUAAUGACUCCAAUGGUAGCACCCCGCAUUUUAGCAUCUCGGACAUUAGUAACUAUAACUCAACCCAUGAACAUGUUAAGAACACUUCAUUCGAUGUUGAUCUCAAGAACAAUAAGACCAUGAAUUUGAAUAAAGAUAAGAGUAGCAUGAUUUAUAAUACAAGAGAGACAUGUUAUAUGGACAGCUUAAACAAUUCGGAGACAACACUAAAAGAAUAUAUGAAUAAUUACGUAGAAAACAAAGAAAAAGAAAACGAAUUAAAACAAGCGGGUAAUGUUUGUCUUUUAAGUGAUAGUUCUUAUAUAAUUAUGAGUGUUUUUUUAAAAAAUAAAUGUUUAGAAUAUAAACUGGAGUUAAUAAAACAAAAUAAGUUAAACAUAUAUAAACAACUAUUUAAUGUGUGUAAUAAAGAAAAGGUGUUUUAUGAAAGAAAGAGUAAAGAGAGUGAAAAAAGGAUUGAAGCACUUGAUAAAGCGGUAAUGUUAUUAGAAUUGGAUAAUGAAAAUUAUAUAGAAGCAAAUAAUGAAUUAAAAAAAAUUAUUGAAUCGAAUAAAGAAAUAAUUAAUAUAAUUGAAAAUAUUGUAAAAAAAAAAAAUAAUAAAAUUGAAAAGUUACAAAAAGAAAAUAAAAAAAUACAUGAAGCAGAAGAAGUUAUUGAAAAAAAAAAAAAAGAAAAUGAACAUUUAUCAAAAAAUAUAUAUAAAUUAAAUAUAAAGUUUAAUGAAUAUGUAUCAAAAUUAAAAUUUUCUAACAAAACUACUAAUAACCUAAAUAGUAAAGUUAAUAAUUUGUUAUUGCAAUUACAAAAGGAACAAGCAAAAAAUGAUAAACUGUUAUUAUAUUUAUCACUUUUAAUGAAAUAUAGAAAUAAUGAUGAUAAUCAUAUGGAUAAAGCGAAUUUUUUAAAAAUAAUGAAAUGUAAACAUUUGGACGAUUGGUCAGAUUGGUCAAAUUUGUCAGAUUGGUCAAACUUGUCAGAUUGGAUGAACCAAACAAUGUCUGGACAACAUCAUUAUAGUUUGUUAUUACCUGAACUAAAGAAUAAUUUUAAGUAUAUAACGAACAAGGAAACAUGUUUUAAUAAUAAUAUGCUAAAAAACAGCUAUAUAGAAAAUAAAAAAAUAAAAAAACGAACAAGUGAACAACAUAUGUUAGAAGAUAUAUUUAGUUUAAACAGUGAUAUGGAAGAAGCAAGUGAUUAUAAUUUUGGUAAUUAUACUAACAAUGAUAGUAAUAACAAUGGUAGUAAUAACAAUGGUAGUAAUAACAAUGGUAGUAAUAACAAUGGUAGUAAUAACAAUGGUAGUAAUAACAAUGGUAGUAAUAACAAUAACAGUAGAAAAAAAUCAUUACAAAAAGAAGGUAUUAAAUGUUUAAAAGAUGUAAUAGCUGAAAAUGAAGAUAUGUUACCACUGCAAUCGUUUGAUAGGAGCGAAGAAAAAAGGGAACAUGCUGAUGAAGAAUGCAAAUAUAAUAAAAAGGAACAUGAACGUACAAAUAUAGGGUGUGAAUAUACUAAUGUGGAACACAAAAAUAAUGAUGGAAAGAACGAAUGUAGUGAUAAUGAUUUACUAAUUGACGAUGCAUUAUUAGAUGAGUAUAAAAAAUAUAAGUCACAAAUUUGUUCGAAUAACAUAUUAGAAACAGAAAAUGACAGCGAUAUUUUUAAAAAAAAGAAGAUAAAAAAAAAUUAUAAGAAUCAUAAUAAUAGGGGUAAUAAAAUCGUUGAUAAUGAAAAUGUUUACUUUAACUUGAAUAGUAAUGAUAAAAAAAGCAGCAGUGAUAGUUGUGAUUUCAAUUUGGAGAUGGAUAGUAUAAAUGCAAAACAACAACAUAAGUUAGAUAAAAAUACAAUUUUGUUAAAAAAAAAUAAUAAAUCACUUAAAAGUAAGAACAAUAUUAGCAAAAAAUGUAAUGAAAAUAAGUUUCAUGUUAAGGAUGUAAAAUGUAAAAACAGCGAAAAAGCACGUGGUUUGUUAUUGGAUGAACGCGUAUAUAAGCAUGGGGUCAAAGAAGUGGGAAAGCAAAAUAAGGAAAUAAAUGGGUUAAAAUAUUGUAAAAUAAAAAACAAAGUUGAUUAUGAUAAAUAUAUAAUUAGGUGUAAUAGUAAAAUGAAUAAUGAGGUAGAUAAAACAAAUAAAGAUCAUUUUAAAAUUAAAAAAAUGUAUUAUGAAAAAGAAAAAACGAAUAAUGAUAAUUAUUUAAAUGUUAGUAAGAACAAUUUUAAUAAACAGUUUAACAAAAAUAAAAAUAAAAACAAAAGCAAAAAUUUGCCUUUAUGGACAAGUACAACUGUAGAAAACGAUAAAGAUUUAAGUGGAAAAAAUAAAAAAGAAAAUAAAAACAGAAAAAAAGAAAAAUCCUUUACACUUGAUUAUAAUGUUAAUAAUUUGAAUAAAAAAAGAAUGAAUGAUUGUAUUGCUGAUUGUAAACAAUUUGAAAAAAAGUUUAAUUAUUUUAUUAAAAUGUCUAAAAAUAUAAAAGGAAGUGUAUUAUCAAAUAGUAGUGAUAACAUUGAGGAUAUGGAAAAUUUAAAUAAAAAAUAUUACUUUCCUAAUUUGGAAAAAAUUAUUAACAAAUGCGAUAAUAAAGAAAUUAACAUUUCUUUUUUAAAUAAUUAUAUGAAUACAAAAUUGAAAACUUAUCUUUUGUCAGACGAGGAAAUAAAUAAACAUAAACUACUUAUAAAACAAUUUUACGUUCAAA
ensembl:lncRNA